AAAAGGGUGGUGAUUAUUUGACAUCUGACUGCUUGACAGCAAAGCAUCAAGAGCCAACUGGGAGCCGGGAUGGGAAACUACUAAAGUUUGAUGCACCAGACUUUGGCCUGAUGCGCUCUCAGCAAAAUGUACAGAGGAGAUGGCCACUUGGUCUUUGGGAGCCCCUGGCUCUCUCUUUUUAAUGACACUAGCUGCUCUUAGCGCCCACUACAGGAAAUGAAGCAAUGGAAGAAGCGCACCUCAUGUGAAAGCAUUUGGAUUUUGCUAGGCUAUUUUCUGAGUAGUAUUUGUCCCGUGGAAAAAUACAGAAGAGGAAAUGA
rnacentral:lncRNA from 1 species